rnacentral:rRNA from 1 species
UACGAAGGGGGCUAGCGUUGCUCGGAAUCACUGGGCGUAAAGCGCACGUAGGCGGCUUUUUAAGUCAGGGGUGAAAUCCUGGAGCUCAACUCCAGAACUGCCUUUGAUACUGGGAAGCUUGAGUCCGGGAGAGGUGAGUGGAACUCCGGAGUGUAGAGGUGAAAUUCGUAGAUAUUAGGAAGAACACCGGUGGCGAAGGCGGCCCACUGGUCCGGUACUGACGCUGAGGUGCGAAAGCGUGGGGAGCAAACAGG